GAUAACCAAAAAUCACAGCAGGAUUCAGGGUUGGAUUGGUAAUAACACGAACGUCUCCGCCACCAGGAGCCCAAGUAUCGUAGACUCCACCGAAGAACAUGGCUUUAAAUACCAACAAGAAAGCACCACAUCCUAAAAGGAUUAAGUGGUAACCAAUAAUAUUGGUCAUUUGGUUUUUGUCUUUCCA
rnacentral:antisense_RNA from 1 species